AACGAACGCUGGCGGCAUGCCUAACACAUGCAAGUCGAACGAGAUCUUCGGGUCUAGUGGCGCACGGGUGUGUAACGCGUGGGAAUCUGCCCUUUGGUUCGGAAUAACAGUUGGAAACGACUGCUAAUACCGGAUGAUGACGAAAGUCCAAAGAUUUAUCGCCAGAGGAUGAGCCCGCGUAGGAUUAGCUAGUUGGUGUGGUAAAGGCGCACCAAGGCGACGAUCCUUAGCUGGUCUGAGAGGUUGAUCAGCCACACUGGGACUGAGACACGGCCCAGACUCCUACGGGAGGCAGCAGUGGGGAAUAUUGGACAAUGGGCGAAAGCCUGAUCCAGCAAUGCCGCGUGAGUGAUGAAGGCCUUAGGGUUGUAAAGCUCUUUUACCCGGGAUGAUAAUGACAGUACCGGGAGAAUAAGCUCCGGCUAACUCCGUGCCUGCCGCCGCCGUAA
rnacentral:rRNA from 1 species